rnacentral:rRNA from 1 species
AUUGAACGCUGGCGGCAUGCUUUACACAUGCAAGUCGAACGGUAACAGGGAGCUUGCUCCGCUGACGAGUGGCGAACGGGUGAGUAAUGCGUCGGAACGUGCCGAGUAGUGGGGGAUAACGCAUCGAAAGGUGUGCUAAUACCGCAUACGUACUGAGGUAGAAAGUGGGGGACCUUGGGGCCUCACGCUAUUCGAGCGGCCGACGUCUGAUUAGGUAGUUGGUGAGGUAAAGGCUCACCAAGGCGACGAUCAGGGGCGGGUCGGAGAGGAUGGUCCGCCACACUGGGACGGAGACCCGGCCCAGACUCCUACGGGAGGCAGCAGUGGGGAAUUUUGGACAAUGGGCGCAAGCCUGAUUCAGCCAUGCCGCGUGUCUGAAGAAGGCCUUCGGGUUGUAAAGGACUUUUGUCCGGGAGCAAAUGCCUGGUGUUAAUAGCACUGGGAGCUGAGAGUACCGGAAGAAUAAGCACCGGCUAACUACGUGCCAGCCGCCGCAGUAACAC